GGUGGGGUGGCCGAGUGGUUUAAGGCGACGGUCUUGAAAACCGUUAUACUCGCAAGGGUAUCGUGAGUUCGAAUCUCACCCCCACCG
rnacentral:tRNA from 1 species